GACGAACGCUGGCGGCGUGCUUAACACAUGCAAGUCGAACGGAAAGGCCCUGCUUUUGCGGGGUGCUCGAGUGGCGAACGGGUGAGUAACACGUGAGUAAUCUGCCCUUGACUUUGGGAUAACUUCAGGAAACUGGGGCUAAUACCGGAUAGGAGCUCCUGCUGCAUGGUGGGGGUUGGAAAGUUUCGGCGGUUGGGGAUGGACUCGCGGCUUAUCAGCUUGUUGGUGGGGUAGUGGCUUACCAAGGCUUUGACGGGUAGCCGGCCUGAGAGGGUGACCGGCCACAUUGGGACUGAGAUACGGCCCAGACUCCUACGGGAGGCAGCAGUGGGGAAUAUUGCACAAUGGGCGGAAGCCUGAUGCAGCAACGCCGCGUGCGGGAUGACGGCCUUCGGGUUGUAAACCGCUUUCGCCUGUGACGAAGCGUGAGUGACGGUAAUGGAUAAAGAAGCACCGGCUAACUACGUG
rnacentral:rRNA from 1 species